rnacentral:lncRNA from 1 species
UCCACUCCAAAAAUACACCAGGUCAAGUUCCAGAAUGUGUACCUGAAUAUGUGAAAUACAAGAGAAAGAAGAAUGAGUCAAUCAGCAACGAGCAGAGAUCAAUGACAACAUCACUAUGGCACUCGAAAACCCCAGAUAAUAGGAGGAAUAGCCCAUAAGUGAAUUCCAACCAGAGAAGAAGUAAUAACAAACAGCCCGGGGAUGAUUAAACCAAAUUGGCUCAAAUAACCAGCUAUGAACCAAGGGAAUAUAACCAAUUGACUUCUAAAAUAUACCCAAAACAGGAGCAAACCAACAAGAAUUGUUAUAAUCAAACUCAAAUAACGCUACAAUUAUCCGGAUGAUUUCAAAAUUUAACUACAAAUCAGAUUGAGCUACCAGCUACCCAAAUCACUUAGAACCUUUCAGAAAAACUGAAAAUAAUACAGGAAACAACUGUGAAACAGUAGGAUAUUUUUUUUUGUGAUUUUCUUUUUUGUUGUUUUUUUUUUGGACUUUUGAAGGUUUUUUUUUUAAUCUAAGGAAAGGUAAGAUCUAAUUUCUGAACUGAAAUUGAACUUUAAAUCUGAAAAUUGAGCAGUAUACUUGGGAGAAUUUUUUGGCUGAAGGAAGAAGACCCCUUUUACAAGGCAUUAGAUGCCUUUUUAUAUGCAAGAGUGAGGACAACACUCAGAUUUUUCAUUUGCACCCACAACCCCUAAUCAUUUUUAGCUUAAAGCCCUUAUUUUAUGACUUGCUCCUCAAGUUAAUACCCCAAGUCUAUUGAAAACUACAUUAAGGUCCUAUUUUAGAAGCCUCUAGGAUGCUCUUUUAGCCCCAAAAUACCCAUACUACCCUUCCAUUGUUUUAAAAUUACAAUUCUUAAAGAUUUUAUCCUUUCCUAUCCCUAAACUACCCCUGAAAACCUCCUAAAUUACUAAUUCUUAUUGAACCUUCAACAACUAUAACCAAUCGCUGAUCCAACUCAAAACCAAUGCCAAAGGACACUAUUAAUGAAUUAAACAUUAACAAUCAAAUCCACGAACUGUAAUCGACCCAAAUUAAUUCCAGAAAAACGAAACAAACAAAAGUUAGUGAGAACGAACUAAAAUCUUAUUACUGGACUAAAUUUCUAUCAAACAUGUAGAAACCAAAUCCCAGUUCAGCACCUCAUAAAUAGAACAAAAGAGGAACCUAAUUUAACUAACGACUGAUUGAAACAAUUAACAUUUGAGCAAAAGAAAAUCAAAAUCACAUCAGAAUUUAAAUAAAGAAAUGACAAUCAACCCUAAACGAAUUAACCUAAACACUUAUGACAAUCAUAAAGACAAUUUGGUGCUAAACUCGACUUGAAACUAGAACUAUGCUCAGAACAGUGAGUCGAACCAGGAACUAAAGAAACGAAAGAGAGAAAUCUUACCAAAAAUUAGUCUUCAAACCAACUGCUUUUGGAAUCAAGCUUUAAUUAAUCUUAUAAGUUUACCUUUGUCAAGGUAAUCUCAUAACAUUAAUCAAAAACCAUCCGAAUUCCUUAAGUUUCAAAACAUGUCGUCAUUCUAAAACCUCAGAUCCGAUAUUUGAGCCUAACCAGGAUGAUGCGAGAAGCACGGCUUGGGUAUUUGGGACGAGAAGGUUAAGGCGGGUCUAUGAUGUAAAUUUGGGAUCAUUUGGCAUAGGUGACGAACUGGCCGGAAAACUUCAAACGAAGAUUCGAAUAACCUGGCUGUGAUUCGAAGGAAGCCAGUUUGAUAUUUGGAAUGAGGAAGAGAAGAAGAAUCUGGGGUGUGAUUUUGUGACGGAUUGGCCAUGGCAGCGUUCCCCGGCGGCUCCGGCUCCGGCUCCGGCGAGGUGUGAAACGGUACGAGGAAGAUGAGAGAAUGUCUCUAGGGUUCUGAUUCUAUUCAGACACUUUUAAGUGAUUUGGGGGUGAGCUGUUUGGCCGUGGCGAUUCUAAUGAAUAAUUCAUCAAUAACGAAUAAAAAAAUUUUAUGCAAUUCUGAAAGGGGGAAAGAUUCCUCGGAUAAAAUCAUUCGAUAAUAUUGACAAUUUCAAAAAACUGAUCAUACUAUGAUCAUACUAUGAUCAUCAUAGUAUGAUGGCGGUUGGUCAAGCAGGCCCCCAUCGUCUAGUGAUUUAGGACAUCUCUCUUUCAAGGAGGCAGCGGGGAUUCGAAUUCCCCUGGGGGUAGGGUACUACGAAAGGAAGUCUGGGGUGUGAUUUUGGGAUGGCUUGGCCAUGGCGGUGACGACUCCGGCGAGAUGUGAAACGGUACGAGGAAGAUGAGAGGAUGUCUCUAGGGUUCUGAUUCUAUUCAGAC